GAGAAGUGUAGAGGCAGUGUUCAAGGGAAGGCGUGAGUCAUCUCGUCUCCUGUCUUGCUGUUGCUGCGCUACUGGCGUUUGCGGGUUCCCUGUUCUGAAAUCAACAGAAGUACCUGCAUGACCAGAAAGAAGACUAUGGAGAUGUUGAAGACAUGGCUGAGACAUCCCAAGGAGCUCUACAACUUGGUAUGGUUCAAGAUGGGCGGUUACAAGACCAUGAUGCCGAAGAUGGACCAGGUGAGUUCUGUGUCAUUGGGCACUUCUUCUGUUCCCCUUUCUAAAUUAGUU
rnacentral:lncRNA from 11 species